UUAAUACUCCCUCCGUCCCAAAAUAAGUGUCUCAACCUUAGUACAACUUUCUACUAGAGUUAGUACAAAGUUGAGACACUUAUUUUGGGACGGAGGGAGUAUGUU
rfam:Triticum aestivum genome assembly, contig: Triticum_aestivum_CS42_TGACv1_scaffold_146332_2BS